rnacentral:lncRNA from 1 species
CCUUGUUUGGUUAGGGGUUAAGGGGCGGAAUAACCCCUUAACCCCCAUUUUAUCCCCAAACACCCCAAAAAAUAGGUGGGGUUAGCUAACCCUACCUAACCCCACCUCAAAUAAAUUAUCCCGGGUUAGCUAACCCCAUCUAACCCCACCAAACUCCAACCAAACACUAUUUUCUAUUCAUAAUAACCCACUAUCUUUCUUAUCACACCUACUCCAACCAAUCAUUAUCCUUCUUUAUCAAUCAUUAUCUUCUUAUCCCACCUACCCAACCAAACACUAUUUUUCAUUAUUCUAGACUAACUCCAACCCCCAACCAAACACAAAAAAACUUUAACCCCACUUUAACCCUGAACUUAACUCUAUUCCUGGAAUAGCUACUUUUUCCUUAACCCCGAACCAAACGGAGACUAAGGUUAUAGGGGCGUGAGUGAACGUGGACCCGUGGCGGUGGCGAAAGUUGAUUGAUUGGGUCGAAGUUGAUGUUAUGUCUCUAGCUGUGAAUAGAGACGGAU